rnacentral:rRNA from 1 species
ACGCUCGACACCUACGGGAAGCAGCAGUGGGGAAUAUUGCACAAUGGGGGAAACCCUGAUGCAGCGACGCCGCGUGGAGGAAGAAGGUCUUCGGAUUGUAAACUCCUGUUGUUGGGGAAAAAGAGGAUGGUACCCAACAAGGAAGUGACGGCUAACUACGUGCAAGCAGCCGCGGUAAUCUGAGCGGGCUGGCAAGGC